rnacentral:lncRNA from 1 species
UUCAGUGUCUCUCUCUCAAUUUCAAAGAGAAUCGCUUCCAUAGUCACCACUCACCUCCUCUGUUAGCCCCUGCCGAGAAGGUCAUCUCCCUCAAAGACAAAGGGCUUCAUCUUGGUAUCUAACUAAAAGUUCAGGUGAUCAAUACCAAUAAAGAACCAAUUCUAGUUUUUCAAUUUCUAGUAUUUAUUCCUCUUUUGCAUAAAGAUUUAAUCCCAAUAAAUUUCCUUUACCGCUAUGUGUUUUCUUCUCUUUGUUGUAGUUCAAUUUAAAAGAACAUUGCUUCAUAGUCGUCUCCUCCAGUAGCCAUAAGCCACUGCCGCUUCUCGAAUCUCGUUGGGUCGCCUCUCUCCGUCUCUCGCCGUCAGCCCGUCAAUUGUCACUAUCAGGUUUCUCACUUGCUUAUAUUGUAGAUUUUUGUAAUUUAUGCUUUGAAAAAAAAUUCAGAUUGUUUUAAUAGGUUUUGACUGAGAAACUCAAUUUCAAUUUGAGAUAUACCGUGUUAAAUAUUUUUUUUAAUAUAAUUUUUAAUCUUAAUGAAAAAUGGGGAAAGGUGAGAAAUUGAGAGUAAUAAACUUGCUUAUAUUGAGAAGUUAAGUACCUUUUUCUCUUUAGUUAUGGAAAAUCUCAGAUUGUUGUUGUUGGUUUUGAGUGAGAAAUUCUUUUUCAGUUUGAAUAUACGUAUACGUACACAUAAUUUUUUUUUGGGUGUGUAUACUUUUGAUAUGGUCAUAUGAAAUGGAAAUCAGUAAUGUUUCCUUGAUGCAAUCAAGAACAUUUUCCUUGGCUCGUUAUUGAAUCAACAAAUUUCCCUUUAUAAAAUAAUAUUUAGCAUGCAAUAGUAUUUUCUAGGACUGAAGUUCCAAAAUCUAGGAAGAUCACCUUUGCUGUUAUCCAUGAAUGAAAGUUUCAUUGCAAUAGUUAUGUAAUCUAAUGAGUGAUCGUUACUUGGGUUGUCUUCGACCACGUUAUUUCUUCUAGUUUAAAUUUAAGGUUAAACAUAUACAAAAUUAUUCUUCUAAUUCUAAUUCUAAUUCUAAUUUGGUAAUCUAGUUUGUGUUACAAUGAAGAGAUUUUACCCUCCAGUACCUUCCAAGUUGCCAUAACCAAGUUUAUCAUCUCCAAUUGCUACUCCCGUGGAACAAAAUUUGAACCGAUUAGAAGAGCAACCUCAAUCCUCUAAAAGACAAAGACAAGGAAUAAAUCUUGAUUCUUUACCGGCCGA